GAUGAACGCUGGCGGCGUGCUUAACACAUGCAAGUCGAACGGAAAGGCUCCUGCUUGCAGGGGUACUCGAGUGGCGAACGGGUGAGUAACACGUGGGUGAUCUGCCCUGCACUUCGGGAUAAGCCUGGGAAACUGGGUCUAAUACCGGAUAGGACGAUGGUUUGGAUGCCAUUGUGGAAAGUUUUUCGGUGUGGGAUGAGCUCGCGCCUAUCAGCUUGUUGGUGGGGUAAUGGCCUACCAAGGCGUCGACGGGUAGCCGGCCUGAGAGGGUGUACGGCCACAUUGGGACUGAGAUACGGCCCAGACUCCUACGGGAGGCAGCAGUGGGGAAUAUUGCACAAUGGGCGCAAGCCUGAUGCAGCGACGCCGCGUGGGGGAUGACGGCCUUCGGGUUGUAAACUCCUUUCGCUAGGGACGAAGCGCAAGUGACGGUACCUGGAGAAGAAGCACCGGCUAACUACGUG
rnacentral:rRNA from 1 species